rnacentral:ncRNA from 1 species
AGGCAGGGUGAGAUUCCCGACCGGCGGUGUUCAGCAUCUGCUGUAAGUCCGCAACCCGCAUAAAGUGCGGUGGAUCCGGUAUGAAUCCGGAACCGACGGUACAGUCCGGAUGAAAGAAGGA